rnacentral:rRNA from 1 species
ACGCUCGACACCUACGGGGGGCAGCAGUUGGGAAUAUUGGACAAUGGAGGAAACUCUGAUCCAGUGACGCCGCGUGAAGGAAGGAGGUCUUCGGAUUGUAAACUUAUUUUGUCAGGGAAGAAAAAUGACUGUACCUGAAGAAAAAGCACCGGCUAACUACGUGCCGCAGCCGCGGUAAUCUGAGCGGGCUGGCAAGGC